ensembl:lncRNA
CGACUGUUCUCGUGAGCCCAUGCAGAAGGCCACUGUAUUCUCAAGGGAUGGCAAAAGGUACACUGGACGCUGCUGUCAAUUUUUGUGACUUCUGAGAGUCUGCAGGAAGGUAUGGUAUAGGUUCAGAGCCAAAGUAUAUGGCUAUCUAUUCUUAGACAGCUGUCUCAGUUAAACUACUUUGACUGAAGGAUAAAAAUCUUGCAGGGAACUGUCUUAAAUCCCAAGCAUCGGAGAAAAAAGAAAAAAAAAAAAAAGAAUCAUUUUACUCAUUCAAACAAUGUUGGUCUAUGAAGAAUCAAAGUUAAUAACAUUCCCACUGGUGUGUGCCACAAGAGGGAAAGUUCUGGAACAGAAUGUAGCAUUAGGAAUACAGUGGG